CCUACGGGGGGCUGCAGUGGGGAAUAUUGGACAAUGGGCGAAAGCCUGAUCCAGCCAUGCCGCGUGUGUGAAGAAGGCCUUCGGGUUGUAAAGCACUUUCAGUGGGGAAGAAAGCCUUGGGGCUAAUACCCUCGAGGAAGGACAUCACCCACAGAAGAAGCACCGGCUAACUCCGUGCCAGCAGCCGCGGUAAUACGGAGGGUGCGAGCGUUAAUCGGAAUUACUGGGCGUAAAGCGCGCGUAGGCGGUCUGAUAAGCCGGUUGUGAAAGCCCCGGGCUCAACCUGGGAACGGCAUCCGGAACUGUCAGGCUAGAGUGCAGGAGAGGAAGGUAGAAUUCCCGGUGUAGCGGUGAAAUGCGUAGAGAUAGGGAGGAAUACCAGUGGCGAAGGCGGCCUUCUGGACUGACACUGACGCUGAGGUGCGAAAGCGUGGGUAGCAAACAGGAUUAGAUACCCUAGUAGUC
rnacentral:rRNA from 1 species